UUGUAGAAUGAACCGGCGAGUUACGAUUUGAUGCAAGGUUAAGCAGUAAAUGUGGAGCCGUAGCGAAAGCGAGUCUGAAUAGGGCGUUUAGUAUUUGGUCGUAGACCCGAAACCAGGUGAUCUACCCUUGGUCAGGUUGAAGUUCAGGUAACACUGAAUGGAGGACCGAACCGACUUACGUUGAAAAGUGAGCGGAUGAACUGAGGGUAGCGGAGAAAUUCCAAUCGAACCUGGAGAUAGCUGGUUCUCUCCGAAAUAGCUUUAGGGCUAGCCUCAAGUGAUGAUUAUUGGAGGUAGAGCACUGUUUGGACGAGGGGCCCCUCUCGGGUUACCGAAUUCAGACAAACUCCGAAUGCCAAUUAAUUUAACUUGGGAGUCAGAACAUGGGUGAUAAGGUCCGUGUUCGAAAGGGAAACAGCCCAGACCACCAGCUAAGGUCCCAAAAUAUAUGUUAAGUGGAAAAGGAUGUGGCGUUGCCCAGACAACUAGGAUGUUGGCUUAGAAGCAGCCAUCAUUUAAAGAGUGCGUAAUAGCUCACUAGUCGAGUGACACUGCGCCGAAAAUGUACCGGGGCUAAACAUAUUACCGAAGCUGUGGAUUGUCCUUUGGACAAUGGUAGGAGAGCGUUCUAAGGGCGUUGAAGCAUGAUCGUAAGGACAUGUGGAGCGCUUAGAAGUGAGAAUGCCGGUGUGAGUAGCGAAAGACGGGUGAGAAUCCCGUCCACCGAUUGACUAAGGUUUCCAGAGGAAGGCUCGUCCGCUCUGGGUUAGUCGGGUCCUAAGCUGAGGCCGACAGGCGUAGGCGAUGGAUAACAGGUUGAUAUUCCUGUACCACCUAUA
rnacentral:rRNA from 1 species